rnacentral:rRNA from 1 species
AUACGGAGGAUCCGAGCGUUAUCCGGAUUUAUUGGGUUUAAAGGGAGCGUAGGCGGACGCUUAAGUCAGUUGUGAAAGUUUGCGGCUCAACCGUAAAAUUGCAGUUGAUACUGGGUGUCUUGAGUACAGUAGAGGCAGGCGGAAUUCGUGGUGUAGCGGUGAAAUGCUUAGAUAUCACGAAGAACUCCGAUUGCGAAGGCAGGCUGCUGGACUGUAACUGAAGCUGAUGCUCGAAAGUGUGGGUAUCAAACAGGAUUAGAUACCCUGGUAGUCCACACAGUAAACGAUGAAUACUCGCUGUUUGCGAUAUACAGUAAGCGGCCAAGCGAAAGCGUUAAGUAUUCCACCUGGGGAGUACGCCGGCAACGGUGAAACUCAAAUGAAUUGGCGGGG